CCUGUUCGAGCGUCAUUUAACCACUCAAGCCUGGCUUGGUAUUGGGGCACGCAGUCUCGCGGCCCUCAAAAUCAGUGGCGGCGCCGGUGGGCUCUAAGCGUAGUACAUACUCCCGCUAUAGAGUUCCCCUGGUAGCUUGCCAGAACCCCCAAUUUUUACAGGUUGACCUCGGAUCAGGUAGGGAUACCCGCUGAACUUAA
rnacentral:misc_RNA from 1 species